rnacentral:rRNA from 1 species
CAGCCGCGGGAAUACGAAGGGUGCAAGCGUUACUCGGAAUUACUGGGCGUAAAGCGUGCGUAGGUGGCGGUUUAAGUCCGUUGUGAAAGCCCUGGGCUCAACCUGGGAAUUGCAGUGGAUACUGGAUCACUAGAGUGUGGUAGAGGAUAGUGGAAUUUCCGGUGUAGCAGUGAAAUGCGUAGAGAUCGGAAGGAACAUCUGUGGCGAAGGCGACUAUCUGGGCCAACACUGACACUGAGGCACGAAAGCGUGGGGAGCAAACAGGAUUAGAUACCCCCGUAGUCCCUGUCUCUUAUACCAU